CAAUAGUUUACUUUUACAACUAUCAAAAUAUUGUUAACCAUUUAAAGGAGAACAAAGCUCAUUUUUUAGAUUUCCGGAAUUUCAACUUCCGUUUUUACUUCCGGUUUCAAAAUGCCAAAUAACUCCUUAUUUGUUGGUCUGUCAGAAAAAAGAUUCACAUUUUCGUGAUUCUCGUCAAAUUUGGGAUCGAGUCCAUGGGUCAUCUAAAAAUACCCGAAAAUCGUCAAAAAUCGCAAAUUUUCCUGAUUUCCUGAUUUCCUGAUGUUCAUGAAAAAUCGUGAUUUUGGUCAAAUCCGACUUUUGGCUAAAAACAUGUCAUUCCAACCCCAAAUUUGAUAAGGAUCACGAAAAUCCUACUCGUUUUGUUAUAGGAUCACUACUUCCGGAGAUAUUGGCUACUUCCGGUUACUUCCGGGAAAUUUUCGUGACGAUUUGCAAAAGAAAAGAAUUAGCUGUAUUAUUCUAACAAUUUACAAUGUUUUUCUUGCAUGCGUUAGGGUGUUGCAGCUUUUAUUCCGUGUUACUCUUGCUAUCAACAGUACAGGCUGACCCUACGAUCAACGACAGUUUUAGCUAAUAGCACCUCGUCUUGCAACUAGUAGUUGAUAUUUUAGGUUUUUAUGUUUAAAAUUGGAAUCAACUGCCUGAGAUUAGUAAAGUUCAAGCACUUAAAAGCAAGAAUUGUACUGAUUUAAAAGUAAAAUCCAUUUUCUUUGAGUUUAGGCGAAAAUAGAAAUACUAGAUGGCGUUGUUGUGCGUCAAUGAUAAAUAUUACGAGUGACAAGUUAAAGGGUGUUUGUUACGUUUCUACCCUGUUUAGUGUUUCAAAGGAUUUUUCGUCAAAAAUUAAGCUGUGUGUUAUUAUCUGGUUUCGCCUUGUCAGCUGCUGAACCAGUAUCCUGCAUUCCUGCUAUCGAUGUACCACAAGGAAUGCUGACACUUUAAGAAGACAAAAAGUGACCACUAUGCCCGAGACAUGAACAUCACCAUCCUGUUAAGUCUUCGUCUGCUAUGUGUUGCAAACUAUCAGCCCUUAGCGUCCCAUGUUUCCAGAAUAUAAAGCUUCUCUGCUUAGUCAACCAUCAUCCAUACACUUCAGCUUCUUCAUUGUGGUUUCUCUUCCUCUCUUCUUAGCCUGCUGAAUGCCAACAGGCAUACAGGUUCGUCAUUGCCUUACCAUGAAAUAGGAAAUAUUGUUAAUCAUGCUGCCAAAUCGUCUUCGUACGAGUCAUGCAGUUAUAGACUCCUCGUGGAAUUUCAUUGCAACAUCCACCCAGGCUGAAAAGGGCAUCCUACCAGUUACUUGUACCAUACCUGCCUCGCCGUCUUGGCCUCGCCUUCCUCGCCUCGCCUCAUCGUCUUCAAGCUGAUCAUCUUUAUCUCACUGUCAUCGAGCUCAUCGUCAUUGCCGCAUGAUCUUUGCUCGCGCCCGGCUUCUCAUCGCCGUCAUCGUGGAACCUCGCGUUUUUGGUAUUUUUUUUGUUUUUUUUGUUGUUUUGUAUUGUUGUAUUGUGUAUGUUAAAAGUUAACCCGUUGGCUGCCACCCAUUUUGCUCCCCUUUUUUUUUUAGUUGUAGGGACCGGCGGCGCUGUUCUGCCCCAUGGUUGAUCACCCAUGGGGUGGGGCAGUCGCCUUGCGCCUUAGGGCGCCGUAGGCAAUGCACCAGUAGGGACUUCCCCUUGUCGAUGCGAUGGUGGAGUACCUGGGGUGUGCAUUCCCGUAAAGGUCUCCAUCGUCAAGUCAGCCCGGACUUGUCUUUGGACAAGUCCCCCUUUCAUCGGAUCCCUCUGAAACGAUGCGUAGCAACUGUAGAACAACCUAUGGGUUGUAAUGGCUUGGCAGCCAACGGGUUAACUUAAGUGUUUGUUUUUGUAUGCAUGUAUGUACUGUAUUUAUUGUAUAACAUGUGAUGUAUGUAUUGAAUAACAUGUGAUGUAAAACUGUGGUGGAAUUGUGGGUGGAGG